UCCGGGCUUGCUCGGAGAAGUACAGUGGGCGCACGGAGUGAGUAACGCGUGGGUAACCUACCCUUGAAUCUGGAAUAACCCCUCGAAAGCGGGACUAAUACCGGAUACGGUUCUUUAAGCCUCGGCUUUUGGAAUUAAAGGUGACCUCUUCAUGAAAGUUGCCGUUUGGGGACGGGCUCGCGUACCAUUAGCUUGUUGGUAGGGUAAUGGCCUACCAAGGCUACGAUGGUUAGCUGGUCUGAGAGGAUGAUCAGCCACACUGGAACUGGAACACGGUCCAGACUCCUACGGGAGGCAGCAGUGAGGAAUUUUGCGCAAUGGGGGAAACCCUGACGCAGCAACGCCGCGUGAGCGAAGAAGGCCUUCGGGUCGUAAAGCUCUGUCAAGUGGGAAAAAAGUCUUUCGGUUAAUACCCGGGAGGUUUGAUGGUACCACUGGAGGAAGCACCGGCUAACUCCGUGCCAGCAGCCGCGGUAAUACGGAGGGUGCAAGCGUUGUUCGGAAUUACUGGGCGUAAAGGGCGUGCAGGCGGUUUGGUAAGUCAGAUGUGAAAGCCCCGGGCUCAACCCGGGAAGUGCAUUUGAAACUACCUUUCUUGAGUAUGGGAGAGGAGAGUGGAAUUCCCAGUGUAGAGGUGAAAUUCGUAGAUAUUGGGAGGAACACCGGUGGCGAAGGCGACUCUCUGGACCAAUACUGACGCUGAGACGCGAAAGCG
rnacentral:rRNA from 1 species